GGGGCUGUAGCUCAGCUGGGAGAGCACUACAAUGGCAUUGUAGGGGCCGCGGGUUCAAGUCCCGUCAGCUCCACCA
rnacentral:tRNA from 1 species